rnacentral:rRNA from 1 species
CCUACGUGAGGCAGCAGUGGGGGAUAUUGCACAAUGGGGGGAACCCUGAUGCAGCGACGCCGCGUGGGUGAAGGAGCGUUUCGGCGCGUAAAGCCCUAUCGGCAGGGAAGAAGGAGGACGGUACCUUACUCAGAAGCCCCGGCUCACUACGUGCCAGCAGCCGCGGUAAUACGUAGGGGGCAAGCGUUAUCCGGAUUUACUGGGUGUAAAGGGGGCGAAGACGGCAGCGCAAGCCAGGAGUGAAAGCCCGGGGCCAAACCCCGGGACUGCUCUUGGAACUGCGCGGCUGGAGUGCAGGAGGGGCAGGCGGAAUUCCUGGUGUAGCGGUGAAAGGCGUAGAUAUCAGGAGGAACACCGGUGGCGAAGGCGGACUGCUGGACUGCGACUGACGUUGAGGCCCGAAAGCGUGGGGAGCAAACAGGAUUAGAUACCCCAGUAGUC